UACGAAGGGGGCUAGCGUUGUUCGGAAUUACUGGGCGUAAAGGGCGCGUAGGCGGCCUUCUAAGUCGAACGUGAAAUCCCCGGGCUCAACCCGGGAACUGCGUCCGAGACUGAAAGGCUUGAAUCCGGGAGAGGGAUGUGGAAUUCCAGGUGUAGCGGUGAAAUGCGUAGAUAUCAGGAAGAACACCGACGGCGAAGGCAGCUCGCUGGGACGGUACUGACGCUGAGACGCGAAAGCGUGGGGAGCGAACAGG
rnacentral:rRNA from 1 species